rnacentral:rRNA from 1 species
CAUGCAAGUCGAACGAGAAAUCCCGAGCAAUCGGGAGAGUAAAGUGGCGCACGGGUGAGUAACGCGUGGGUAAUCUACCCUCGAGUUGGGAAUAACACCUCGAAAGGGGUGCUAAUACCUGAUAAUAUUCCGGUAACUUCGGUUGCUGGAAUUAAAGAUGGCUGAGGCUUGCACGCUAUCACUCAAGGAUGAGCCCGCGUACCAUUAGCUAGUUGGUAGGGUAAUGGCCUACCAAGGCAAUGAUGGUUAGCUGGUCUGAGAGGAUGGCCAGCCACACUGGAACUGAGAUACGGUCCAGACUCCUACGGGAGGCAGCAGUGAGGAAUCUUGCGCAAUGGGGGAAACCCUGACGCAGCAACGCCGCGUGAGUGAUGAAGGCCUUCGGGUCGUAAAGCUCUGUCAGAUGGGAAGAAAGUUCUUGUAGUGAAUAACUGCGGGGAUAGACGG